AGAGUUUGAUCCUGGCACAGAACGAACGCUGGCGGCGCGUUUUAAGCAUGCAAGUCGGACGGCAAGGAGAGUAGCAAUACUUUCCCUAGAGUGGCGAACGGGUGAGUAACACGUAGGUGAUCUACCUCUGGGUGGGGGAUAGCCCGUGGAAACACGGGGUAAUACCGCAUGAGGCCUUGUGGGUAAAGCCAUGAGGUGAAAGGUGCAAUUGCACCGUCUGGGGAUGAGCCUGCGGUCCAUUAGGUAGUUGGCGGGGUAAGAGCCCACCAAGCCGACGAUGGAUAGCCGGCCUGAGAGGGUGUACGGCCACACUGGAACUGAGACACGGUCCAGACUCCUACGGGAGGCAGCAGCUAAGAAUCUUCCGCAAUGGGGGAAACCCUGACGGAGCGACGCCGCGUGGAUGAUGAAGGCCGUAAGGUUGUAAAAUCCUUUUGUCGGUGAAGAAUAAGGGAGGGAGUGGAAAGCCCUUCUGAUGACGUUAGCCGA
rnacentral:rRNA from 1 species